rnacentral:rRNA from 1 species
UACGAAGGGUGCAAGCGUUACUCGGAAUUACUGGGCGUAAAGCGUGCGUAGGCGGUUUGUUAAGUCCGUUGUGAAAGCCCUGGGCUCAACCUGGGAAUUGCAGUGGAUACUGGCGAGCUAGAGUGCGGUAGAGGAUGGUGGAAUUCCCGGUGUAGCGGUGAAACGCGUAGAGAUCGGGAGGAACACCCGUGGCGAAGGCGGCCAUCUGGACCAGCACUGACGCUGAGGCACGAAAGCGUGGGGAGCAAACAGG